AUGACCUGUUAGACUGCCUGGUCUCACACACAAGAGCUAAAUGACUUCACAUGUAAAUCCCAUGUUAGGCACUUUACGAUCAGCUUGUUAUACUUGUUACAGCUUGUUACUUUAUGUUACGAUCAGUCUGUUGCAAAAACACAUCAUUUGUUCCCAUUUCUUUGGUUGAAUUUACAAAAAUGCCAGAGAUGACCCAAUUAGACAGGCAUAAAAUUGAAUUUAGUUGUAUCAUCUAACAUUUGCUGACGACCCAUCAGCAUUGGUCUCAGUGGAAGAGUUGCUGCCACACACAAAACAAUUUUUAGAAAGUAAAGCAGGGGAAAAGUCAAAGAGAUGCCAAAUUAUACAAAAACUGGCCUGAAAAGACGUGAAAACAAUAAUUUCCAUCACAGUUUUCCUCAACAAACUUUUUUUUCCUAAAAAGAAAAAAAAAAACAAUAACUAAAUAUAAAUGUCAGAAGAAAAUUGUGUAUAUGUUAUCAGCUACAUGAAAUGUGCUCUUUUAGGAUCACUGAGCAAAUGUCUACGUGACUUUUCACCUAAUAACUUUUGUGAUGAUAAACUUGUUUACCAACUAGCAGCUUCUUCUUUUCUAGAACAUACAGAUAGAAAAGGGGAACCUCAGCUCUGAGUUCUAAGAAUAACUUUGUUAUCUUUGUACAGAGACGCACACAUAGACGCACAGAAAAGUAUAAAUAAAGCACGCAGACAGUGAUGAGACGCAGGUCGUGCGUCCAUGACUGCCCUUGCGAGUGAAAGAAUCUGCAGUAUUUGUGUUUUCUAACUCAGGGGUCUUAGCUGAAGAAUUACGGGGUGAUUUAAAGAAAUCCCCUAUCAAUAAACUAAUGAAGGAGGACAAAAACUGCGAUGAAAUGUAUUGACACCUUUGUCAACGAAUGAAAAUGAGAUUUAAAAAAAAAUCUUGGAGAUAUUAAAUCUUGGAGAUAUUAAGCAGAACUAAUUAAGUUGCAUAGAAGUGCGGGACAAGCUUGGAAGUGAUCCAAUCAGAAGCAAUUUCCUUGUGCAGCAAGGUUAGACCAGUGACAGUUUAAAAGUAUUUUCAUUGGGUUAGACGUGAACGAUUGAGCUGCCCCUGGAAAUGGAACAGGUUUGGAGGGGGUUUUAAGGCAUCCGUAAAACAUGAGUUUAAUCUGCCAUUAAAUACCAUCUGGAAGAACUCUGAUUGGUAAGGCUUCAGUUUUCAGCAUGAUAAUAAUCCCAAACAAACUGCCAUUGCAGUGAAAGUGUACCUAGUUAGAAAAAAAAAACAGUGGAACACUAUUAGUUUGCUCCUCAAAUAUGAUAAAAAAUUUGAUUCUGAUGAGAAAAGUGGAUAAAUGAGAAAGUGUUGGUUUUAAUACCUGACGUUUAGAUUUCAGGA